CUUUCCCUCUGGAAAAGAUUCCCCCAGGAAAGCCAAACUCUAGAAGGAAAUACAGCAAAUCCAGUGAAAUCUUCAACUUUAAGUACAUCUUGUAUUCUUUUAAUUUUAAUGCGUUUAUGUCGUCUAACCUGGCAAAAGAACUCUCCCCUCAGUUUUUAUUUCCUCCUUUUAAAUACUGUUAUUUUCAACUUUCCAUCAAAUGCAUUUUGACGAGGGCUGAGAAUGUGUCCGGCAGCACGCAGCAAAUCAGAGGUUUUAUCUUACGCCUCCUGGGACGCUGCGGCUCUUGACACUACUACAAACCAGGACUAUAAACAUAAACAUGUGUCACUGUAACUGGGCAGUAGCUGCAGCCGUGGAAGGCGGUGAUUGGCUCCAGUGCUCCUAGAAGGAUUUGGGCUAAAGCCAGGGAACAGAACCAGAGGAUUCCCCUUCCAGAGACCAGCAGGCCCCACAUGUCUUAUCUCUCCCUUCUCCCCUCAUGGGUGCUCAGAAUUUCACUGUGGCUCCAGCAGCCUGUAGGAUCAAUUGUGAGAGGCCCUGAUGUCUCAGAGGAAAAUAUUGCAACAAAACAAGAUAAUUGGGGGAAAGGCGGCUGCAAGGCGGCUGACAUGGUCAACAUAUUUAUCAAAGAAACCCCCUGGCUUUUGAAGAAUUGUACUUUAUACAUCUGGAUCUGCACAUCCAGGCAAAGGUCAGAAAUAUCCGUUUAUUCUUUUAACCACACGGAUGUCUCUAUUUUUGGAAGAGCAAGGAAAUAUAUAAAUGCCUGGGUUGUAUUUGUGCUGUAG
rnacentral:lncRNA from 1 species